CUCAGGAUGAACGCUGGCGGCGUGCGUAACACAUGCAAGUCGAACGAAGCAGAAGGAUGCUUGCAUCCUUUUGACUGAGUGGCGGACGGGUGAGUAACGUGUGGAGAACCUACCUUACACAGGGGGAUAACGGCUGGAAACGGCUGCUAAUACCGCAUAAGCAUACAGCUUCGCAUGAAGCCGUGUGAAAAGAAGUAUCGGUGUAAGAUGGCUCCGCAUCUGAUUAGCUAGUUGGUGAGGUAAUGGCUCACCAAGGCAACGAUCAGUAGCCGGCCUGAGAGGGCGACCGGCCACAUUGGGACUGAGACACGGCCCAGACUCCUACGGGAGGCAGCAGUGGGGAAUCUUGCACAAUGGGAGAAACCCUGAUGCAGCAACGCCGCGUGAGCGAAGAAGUAUUUCGGUAUGUAAAGCUCUAUCAGCAGGGAAUAGAAAAGAAGGUACCUGACUAAGAAGCCCCGGCUAACUACGUGCCAGCAGCCGCGGUAAUACGUAGGGGGCAAGCGUUAUCCGGAUUUACUGGGUGUAAAGGGAGCGUAGACGGCUGUUUAAGUCAGAAGUGAAAGCCCAUUGCUUAACGAUGGGACUGCUUUUGAAACUAAGGAGCUGGAGUGCAGGAGAGGUAAGUGGAAUUCCUAGUGUAGCGGUGAAAUGCGUAGAGAUUAGGAGGAACACCAGUGGCGAAGGCGGCUUACUGGACUGUAACUGACGUUGAGGCUCGAAAGCGUGGGGAGCAAACAAGGUUAGAUACCCUGGCAGUCCACGCGGUAAA
rnacentral:rRNA from 1 species